rnacentral:rRNA from 1 species
GACGAACGCUGGCGGCGUGCUUAACACAUGCAAGUCGAACGGGAUCCAUGGAGUAGCAAUACUCCGGAAGAUCUAGUGGCGAACGGGUGAGGAACACGUGAAGAACCUGCCCUGAACUCUGGGAUAACAGUUGGAAACGACUGCUAAUACCGGAUGUCGUUGUCGGAGUCGCAUGGCUCUACAACGAAAGUUUUUCGGUUCAGGAGGGCUUCGCGGCCUAUCAGCUAGUUGGUGAGGUAAUGGCUCACCAAGGCAUCGACGGGUAGCUGGUCUAGGAGGAUGAUCAGCCACACUGGGACUGGUACACGGCCCAGACUCCUACGGGAGGCAGCAGUGGGGAAUCUUGCGCAAUGGGCGAAAGCCUGACGCAGCAACGCAGCGUGCGGGAAGAAGGCUUUAGGGUUGUAAACCGCUUUCAGCAGGGAAGAAAAUGACGGUGCCUGCAGAAGAAGGUGCGGCCAACUACGUGCCAGCAGCCGCGGUAA